GAGAGCACAGUACGAUGAAAGUUGUAAGCUGUGUUUGGGGGGGGGGGAUUUAUUGUCUAUCGUUGGACUCUAUGGUAGAACCCGUCGGGGAGGCCUAAGCGGCGGUGGUUUACCCUGU
rnacentral:ncRNA from 1 species